rnacentral:rRNA from 1 species
GAUGAACGCUGGCGGCGUGCUUAACACAUGCAAGUCGAACGGAAAGGCCCAAGCUUGCUUGGGUCCUCGAGUGGCGAACGGGUGAGUAACACGUGGGUGAUCUGCCCUGCACUUCGGGAUAAGCCUGGGAAACUGGGUCUAAUACCGGAUAGGACCACAUUUUGGAUGGUGUGGUGGAAAGUUUUUCGGUGUGGGAUGAGCUCGCGGCCUAUCAGCUUGUUGGUGGGGUAAUGGCCUACCAAGGCGUCGACGGGUAGCCGGCCUGAGAGGGUGUACGGCCACAUUGGGACUGAGAGACGGCCCAGACUCCUACGGGAGGCAGCAGUGGGGAAUAUUGCACAAUGGGCGCAAGCCUGAUGCAGCGACGCCGCGUGGGGGAUGACGGCCUUCGGGUUGGAAACUCCUUUCGCUAGGGACGAAGCGUUAUGUGACGGUACCUGGAGAAGAAGCACCGGCUAACUACGUG